rnacentral:rRNA from 1 species
CCUACGGGUGGCAGCAGUAGGGAAUAUUGCUCAAUGGGGGAAACCCUGAAGCAGCAACGCCGCGUGGAGGAUGAAGGUUUUCGGAUUGUACACUCCUUUUGUUAGAGAAGAUAAUGACGGUAUCUAACGAAUAAGCACCGGCUAACUCCGUGCCAGCAGCCGCGGUAAUACGGAGGGUGCAAGCGUUACUCGGAAUCACUGGGCGUAAAGAGCGCGUAGGCGGGAUAGCAAGUCAGAUGUGAAAUCCUAUGGCUUAACCAUAGAACUGCAUUUGACACUGUUAGUCUAGAGUAUGGGAGAGGUAGGUGGAAUUCGUGGUGUAGGGGUAAAAUGCGUAGAGAUCAAGAGGAAUACUCAUUGCGAAGGCGACCUGCUAGAACAUAACUGACGCUGAUGCGCGAAAGCGUGGGGAGCAAACAGGAUUAGAUACCCCGGUAGUC